GGCUAAAAAGCUCGUAGUUGGAUUUCUGUUGAGGUUGGGUGGUCCCUUCUCCGAAGGCGUAUUUGCUUCGAUCUCGGCAUCCUUCUGAAGGACUGUGCUGCCCUUCAUUGAGUGGUCAGGAUUUCAGGACUUUUACUUUGAGGAAAUUAGAGUGUUUACGGCAGGCAGGCGCCUUGAAUAUAUUAGCAUGGAAUAAUGAUAUAAGACCUUGGUUUUAUUUUGUUGGUUUCUAAAGCUAAGGUAAUGAUUAACAGGGAUAUUUGGGGGUAUUUGUAUUACACGGUCAGAGGUGGAAUUCUUGGAUUCGUGUACGACAAACUACUGCGAAAGCAUAUACCAAGGAUGUUUUCAUUGAUCAAGAACGAAAGUGUGGGGAUCGAAGAUGAUUAGAUACCGUCGUAGUCUACACCAUAAACUAUGCCGACUAGAGAUUGGAGGUUGUCUUCUUAUAACUCCUUCAGCACCUUUCGAGAAAUCAAAGUUUUUGGGUUCCGGGGGGAGUAUGGUCGCAAGGCUGGAACUUAAAGGAAUUGACGGAAGGGCACCACCAGGAGUGGAGCCUGCGGCUUAAUUUGACUC
rnacentral:rRNA from 1 species